CAGCAUGGUUGCUUCACUACUUCAUACAAUCACGGAUAUCUAAAAGAUGACGUAGCGUUAAUAUACAAAAUAAUAGAGUCCUUCACGGUAACUGCGGAGCUGCUGUCAACGCAUGCGCAUAAAUACUUCCGCAGGGCAAAUUUCAUUUUACGGAAAACGCUGCUUUCGUUUUGAUCAACUCAUAGAUCUUGCAAUAGUAUGUUGUUGCAGUGUGUACAGGUGUUCUAAUCGAGACGAUGCGAGAGGAAAAGAAAAGGGAAGAAGUUUUUUAAGAUUUCCUAAAGAUACACUUAACCGUUGAAAUUGGUUGAGGCACUGAAUCUGGAUGGAUUUGUACCCAUGCUGAAUGAACAUUCCUAUAUGUCUAUGUGUGUUCUGGGCACUUUGUGGUUUGGCACAGUGAUAUCAGAUCCCUAGAAUGAGAAUUAUUUUCCCACCAUGUUCUCAUAAGGAUAUGUCUGUUGAUGCAGAAAUGCAGAACCAAGCAACCAGAAGGAAUAUUCAAAAAGGAUUCUCAGUCACACCAACUUUCACCUCACUUUCCAUGAUGUCAGGAGCUUUGUCAGUGAUAUUCCACAUCUGAAAAAUAAACAUCCGUGAAUUAUCAAUUUUGUGUGCAUAUGUUUUGCACUUUAAAUGAUUAAAAGUGUUUGUCAUUAAAUAUGUUUUUAAUAAAUAAAUUUAAUAAUUAU